AAAAUGACUCUCGGCAACGGAUAUCUCGGCUCUUGCAUCGAUGAAGAACGUAGCGAAAUGCGAUACUUGGUGUGAAUUGCAGAAUCCCGUGAACCAUCGAGUCUUUGAACGCAAGUUGCGCCCAAAGCCGUUAGGCUGAGGGCACGCCUGCCUGGGUGUCACAC
rnacentral:rRNA from 1 species